GCAGGUUAAGGAUCUGGCAUUGUCACUGCAAUGGCUGGGGUCGCUGCUCGGGGUCGCUGCUCGGGCUCGGGCUCCAUCCCUGACCCAGGAAUUUCCACAUGCAGCAGGCAUAGCCCCCACAAAAGAGAGAGAGAGAGAAGCUGAAAGCUAAAGUGUUAUAAGUUACAGCCAAAUAAAAGAUUAUAGGUUAAGUUACACAUCUCUAAAUAGUACCACAAGAGGACUUGCUGCACACACAGAGCUAUCCAGCCAUCUGUCAACUACAGAGGUUCUCCAGUUCGGCUGCAUAUCAAAAGUACUUGGGGAACUUUACAUAAAUACAGAUGCUCAGGCCCCACCCCCGACCAAAUGAAUGAAAAUUAGUAUUUUCCAAAGCUCCCCUGGUAACUCUACUGUGCAGCCAGAUGUGAGACCCCCUGAACUGCCGGCAAAAACAGGGUCUUCACCAAAUAGAUCAUCAGCCCAACCACAGCCAAGCAGACCUAAUCCUGCCUCUACUGUCCUCCUGUAGCUUCCCAGAGGCCCCUGCUCAUCACUCUUUACAGUUAUCCUAAGUCCUUCUCUGCCCCCCCAAGAGGAAAGCAGCCCCCCAAGGAUGGGACAGUGCUAUUAGUCAUGCUACCUCCAGCACCCAGCGCAUAACUGGAGUUUGAUGAACAUUUGUUCUCAUUUGAUAACUGCAGUUUGAUGAACUUGAAUAGAUGCAAGAGAAGACAGAGAGCCAAGCCAAAUGGGAAGGAGAGGGCAUAUGACAGCAACAGGAAAACACAUGUUCUCUGAUCCUUUAAGUUCACUCGUGUGACGCUCCACUAAAGUACAGGCCUUGCAGGAAAGACCUACUCUGAAAAGAACAAAAAGUCACCUGUCAUUCUGAUAUGGUGGCCAGGGAAAACCUGGCAAAAGGGAGCUAUAUUUUGAAACAGCAAUGCAACAUGCGAUAAAAGAAAUGAAACACAAAAAUAGAAGCCUAGUAACCAAAGUAUGUUCUAGGAGCUCCUCCCUAUCUACACCUAACAAUGUGCUCACACCCACACUUUCUCUGCUGGAGUUAGGUCACAAACAGAGUGACACUACUGUAACUGUGCACAUUUUGAGAUGCACAAUUACAACACAGAACCNNNNNNNNNNNNNNNNNNNNNNNNNNGGGAAAGAGCAACACAUGAGAACACCUGAAUAAAGCCUUGUCCAAAUGCGUUUGAAAAGUUCAAGCUACAAACUCAUGAGUCUCAAAAUGCUAUCAUUAAAUGUUAGCCAUAAAUAGUCUUUCCUCGGGUGAAAAGGACAAGAAAAAGAUAAAGGUUAUGGAUGCUAGCAAAUAUUUCCUUCUCAGAGUUCCCAUCGUGGCGCAGUGGAAACCAAUCCAACUAGGAACCUUGAGGUUUCGGGUUUGAUCCCUGGACUCGCUCAGUGGGUUAAGGAUCUGGCAUUGUUGUGAGCUGUGUUGUAGGUCGCAGCGUGGCUCGGGAUCUGGCAUUGCUGUGGCUGUGGUAUAGGCUGGCAGCUGUAGCUCCAAUUUUAUCCCUAGCCUGGGAAUGCAAAUAAGAGCAGCCUUCUGAGCUGGGAAAAGCACGAGCAAAGAAAACAAUACAACCUCAACCCUGUCAUCUGCUAAAGCAAAAUAAAGACACUGCACCAUUUGGUUUUAUAUUUAUGGAGAGUUCCAGAAUCCUUUCCUCUAUAUGCACCCUCCUGUCCUACGUAGCGCUUAGUUAGAGAGCAGCUUCUCUGGAAGGGCUCUGGAAAUAACAUAUACAUUUUCAGGAGGAAUCAACAUUAGCCCCAUACGGCUUAAAGUGCAUCCCACACGGAGGUUAUGUCAACAUCCUCGUCCUCCGGGCAGGUCUUCC
rnacentral:lncRNA from 1 species